rnacentral:rRNA from 1 species
GAAUGCUGACAUAAGUAACGAUAAAGCGGGUGAAAAGCCCGCUCGCCGGAAGACCAAGGGUUCCUGUCCAACGUUAAUCGGGGCAGGGUGAGUCGACCCCUAAGGCGAGGCCGAAAGGCGUAGUCGAUGGGAAACGGGUUAAUAUUCCCGUACUUGGUGUUACUGCGAAGGGGGGACGGAGAAGGCUAUGUUGGCCGGGCGACGGUUGUCCCGGUUUAAGCGUGUAGGUGUGUGUUCCAGGUAAAUCCGGUUCACUUUAACACUGAGGCGUGAUGACGAGGCACUACGGUGCUGAAGCAACAAAUGCCCUGCUUCCAGGAAAAGCCUCUAAGCAUCAGGUAACAUCAAAUCGUACCCCAAACCGACACAGGUGGUCAGGUAGAGAAUACCAAGGCGCUUGAGAGAACUCGGGUGAAGGAACUAGGCAAAAUGGUGCCGUAACUUCGGGAGAAGGCACGCUGACAUGUAGGUGAAGUGAUUUACUCAUGGAGCUGAAGUCAGUCGAAGAUACCAGCUGGCUGCAACUGUUUAUUAAAAACACAGCACUGUGCAAACACGAAAGUGGACGUAUACGGUGUGACGCCUGCCCGGUGCCGGAAGGUUAAUUGAUGGGGUCAGCGCAAGCGAAGCUCCUGAUCGAAGCCCCGGUAAACGGCGGCCGUAACUAUAACGGUCCUAAGGUAGCGAAAUUCCUUGUCGGGUAAGUUCCGACCUGCACGAAUGGCGUAAUGAUGGCCAGGCUGUCUCCACCCGAGACUCAGUGAAAUUGAACUCGCUGUGAAGAUGCAGUGUACCCGCGGCAAGACGGAAAGACCCCGUGAACCUUUACUAUAGCUUGACACUGAACAUUGAGCCUUGAUGUGUAGGAUAGGUGGGAGGCUUUGAAGUGUGGACGCCAGUCUGCAUGGAGCCGACCUUGAAAUACCACCCUUUAAUGUUUGAUGUUCUAACGUGGACCCGUGAUCCGGGUUGCGGACAGUGUCUGGUGGGUAGUUUGACUGGGGCGGUCUCCUCCUAAAGAGUAACGGAGGAGCACGAAGGUUGGCUAAUCCUGGUCGGACAUCAGGAGGUUAGUGCAAUGGCAUAAGCCAGCUUGACUGCGAGCGUGACGGCGCGAGCAGGUGCGAAAGCAGGUCAUAGUGAUCCGGUGGUUCUGAAUGGAAGGGCCAUCGCUCAACGGAUAAAAGGUACUCCGGGGAUAACAGGCUGAUACCGCCCAAGAGUUCAUAUCGACGGCGGUGUUUGGCACCUCGAUGUCGGCUCAUCACAUCCUGGGGCUGAAGUAGGUCCCAAGGGUAUGGCUGUUCGCCAUUUAAAGUGGUACGCGAGCUGGGUUUAGAACGUCGUGAGACAGUUCGGUCCCUAUCUGCCGUGGGCGCUGGAGAACUGAGGGGGGCUGCUCCUAGUACGAGAGGACCGGAGUGGACGCAUCACUGGUGUUCGGGUUGUCAUGCCAAUGGCACUGCCCGGUAGCUAAAUGCGGAAGAGAUAAGUGCUGAAAGCAUCUAAGCACGAAACUUGCCCCGAGAUGAGUUCUCCCUGAGACUUUAGGUCUCCUGAAGGAACGUUGAAGACGACGACGUUGAUAGGCCGGGUGUGUAAGCGCAGCGAUGCGUUGAGCUAACCGGUACUAAUGAACCGUGAGGCUUAACCUUACAACGCCGAAG